AUUGAACGCUGGCGGCAGGCCUAACACAUGCAAGUCGAGCGAGCGGCGGACGGGUGAGUAAUGUCUGGGAAACUGCCUGAUGGAGGGGGAUAACUACUGGAAACGGUAGCUAAUACCGCAUACCAUCAGAUGUUCCCCGAUGGGAUGAGCUAGUAGGUGGGGUAACGGCUCACCUGGGCGACGAUCCCUAGCUGGUCUGAGAGGAUGACCAGCAACACUGGAACGGGGAAAAGGUCAAGACUCCUACGGGAGGCAGAAGGGGGGAAUAUUGGACAAGGGGCGAAGGCCUGAGGCAGCCAUGCCGCGUGUGUGAAGAAGGCCUUCGGGUUGUAAAGCACUUUCAGCGGGGAGGCGUUACCCGAAGAAGAAGCACCGGCUAACUCCGUGCCAGCAGCCGCGGUAAUAC
rnacentral:rRNA from 1 species